rnacentral:misc_RNA from 1 species
CGCACAUUGCGCCCGCCAGUAUUCUGGCGGGCAUGCCUGUCCGAGCGUCAUUUCAACCCUCGAACCCCCCCGGGGGUCCGGCGUUGGGGACAUCGGGAGCCCCUCAGACGGGAUCCCGGCCCCUAAAUCCAGUGGCGGUCUCGCCGCAGCCUCUCCUGCGCAGUAGUUUGCACAACUCGCACCGGGAGCGCGGCGCGCCCACGUCCGUAAAACACCCAACUUUCUGAAAUGUUGACCUCGGAUCAGGUAGGAAUACCCGCUGAACUUAA